rnacentral:rRNA from 1 species
UACGUAGGGGGCUAGCGUUGUCCGGAUUUAUUGGGCGUAAAGAGCUCGUAGGCGGCUCAGUAAGUCGGGUGUGAAAUUUCAGGGCUCAACCCUGAAACGCCACCCGAUACUGCUGUGGCUAGAGUCCGGUAGGGGAGCGUGGAAUUCCUGGUGUAGCGGUGAAAUGCGCAGAUAUCAGGAGGAACACCAGCGGCGAAGGCGGCGCUCUGGGCCGGAACUGACGCUGAGGAGCGAAAGCAUGGGUAGCGAACAGG